GAAAGAUGGCUUUGGCUAUCACUCUGGGAUGGACCUGCGGUGCAUUAGCUAGUUGGUAAGGUAACGGCUUACCAAGGCGAUGAUGCAUAGCCGAGUUGAGAGACUGAUCGGCCACAAUGGAACUGAGACACGGUCCAUACUCCUACGGGAGGCAGCAGUAGGGAAUCUUCCACAAUGGGCGCAAGCCUGAUGGAGCAACACCGCGUGAGUGAAGAAGGGUUUCGGCUCGUAAAGCUCUGUUGUUGGAGAAGAACGUGCGUGAGAGUAACUGUUCACGCAGUGACGGUAUCCAACCAGAAAGUCACGGCUAACUACGUGCCAGCAGCCGCGGUAAUACGUAGGUGGCAAGCGUUAUCCGGAUUUAUUGGGCGUAAAGCGAGCGCAGGCGGUUGCUUAGGUCUGAUGUGAAAGCCUUCGGCUUAACCGAAGAAGUGCAUCGGAAACCGGGCGACUUGAGUGCAGAAGAGGACAGUGGAACUCCAUGUGUAGCGGUGGAAUGCGUAGAUAUAUGGAAGAACGCCAGUGGCGAAGGCGGCUGUCUGGUCUGCAACUGACGCUGAGGCUCGAAAGCAUGGGUAGCGAACAGGAUUAGAUACCCUGGUAGUCCAUGCCGUAAACGAUGAGUGCUAGGUGUUGGAGGGUUUCCGCCCUUCA
rnacentral:rRNA from 1 species